UGGAAUUUUUGAUCGACAAAUAUAAAUACACCAGAAUGUUGUUAUAAAAUAGACGAAUUUUAAUACAUUUUGGUUGGUUUGAGAUGCGGAAUACGAAACAAACGUGUCAAUGCACCGCAUACUUACGCGCCGAAUACCGCUUCACUUUAGGAAGCAUGUGCAUUGAGACAUGGAAUGAUAUCAACUGACGCUUGUUGAUUUCGUGUUUAGCGGCUUUAGCCUAUCGAUCUUGUUGUUAUUCCCCCAGCGGCGGUUUCAUUUAAUGGUAAUAACUUCGUCGGGACUUGAGCCAACGUAUUCCUUUGUCCACCAGAAGAGUAAAAGCGCUUGUCCGGUAGAGUUCUAUUUGAAUAAACUGCGUCUCACUGAAUUAUCAUACUGAGUUACUGACCAAAUUUUCUUUAAUAUAAAC